UACGAAGGGGGCUAGCGUUGUUCGGAAUUACUGGGCGUAAAGCGCACGUAGGCGGGUCUGUAAGUAGGGGGUGAAAUCCCAGGGCUCAACCCCGGAACUGCCUUCUAGACUGCAGGCCUUGAGGUCAGGAGAGGCGAGCGGAAUUCCGAGUGUAGAGGUGAAAUUCGUAGAUAUUCGGAGGAACACCAGUGGCGAAGGCGGCUCGCUGGACUGAUACUGACGCUGAGGUGCGAAAGCGCGGGGAGCAAACAGG
rnacentral:rRNA from 1 species